UGAGGAAUAUUGGGCAAUGCCCGCAAGGGUGACCCAGCAACGCCGCGUGGAGGAUGAAUGUCGUAAGAUUGUAAACUCCUGUUAGAGGGGAAGAAUAGUACUGGUUGGACCGGUAUAUGACUGUACCCUCAGAGAAAGCCCCGGCUAACUACGUGCCAGCAGCCGCGGUAAUACGUAGGGGGCAAGCGUUGUCCGGCUUUACUGUGUGUAAAGGGCGCGCCGGCGGGAUAAAAAGUCAGUGGUGAAAUCCUACAGCUUAACUGUAGAACUGCCUUUGAUACUUUUAUUCGUGAGUUCGGGAGAAGGAGACGGAAUUCCAGGUGUAGUGGUGAAAUACAUAGAUAUCUGGAAGAACACCAGUUGCGAAGGCGGUCUCUUGGUCCGACACUGACGCUGAGGCGCGAAAGCGUGGGGAGCAAACA
rnacentral:rRNA from 1 species